UACAGAGGUCUCAAGCGUUGUUCGGAUUCAUUGGGCGUAAAGGGUGUGUAGGUGGCGCGCUAAGUCGGGUGUGAAAUUUCGGAGCUUAACUCCGAAACUGCAUUCGAUACUGGCGUGCUUGAGGACUGGAGAGGAGACUGGAAUUCAUGGUGUAGCAGUGAAAAUGCGUAGAGAUCAUGAGGAAGACCAGUGGCGAAGGCGGGGGUCUCUGGACAGUUCCUGACACUGAGACACGAAGGCCAGGGGGAGCAAAAACGGGG
rnacentral:rRNA from 1 species